rnacentral:tRNA from 1 species
GGCAUAGUUCAAUGGUAGAGCACCGGUCUCCAAAACCGUCGAUCUGGGUUCGAGUCCUAGUGC